rnacentral:rRNA from 1 species
UAGGGAAUAUUGCACCAUGGGCGGAAGCCUGAUGCAGCAACGCCGCGUGAGUGAAGAAGGCCUUCGGGUCGUAAAACUCUUUUCAAGGGGAAGAGGAAGGACGGUACCCUUGGAAUAAGCAUCGGCUAACUACGUGCCAGCAGCCGCGGUAACACGUAGGAUGCGAGCGUUAUUCGGAUUUACUGGGCGUAAAGCGCGUGUAGGCGGUUAGGAGAGUUGGAUGUGAAAGCUCCCGGCUUAACUGGGAGAG